rnacentral:rRNA from 1 species
AACCUUUACACUGCACGACAGUGCGAUAGGGGGACUCCGAGUGUGAGGGCAUAUAGCCCUCGCUUUUCUGAACCGUAAGGUGGUUCAGGAACAAGGACUGGGCAAGACCGGUGCCAGCCGCCGCGGUAAUACCGGCAGUCCGAGUGAUGGCCGAUAUUAUUGGGCCUAAAGCGUCCGUAGCUUGCUGCGUAAGUCCAUUGGGAAAUCGACCAGCCCAACUGGUCGGCGUCCGGUGGAAACUACACAGCUUGGGGCCGAGAGACUCAACGGGUACGUCCGGGGUAGGAGUGAAAUCCUGUAAUCCUGGACGGACCACCAAUGGGGAAACCACGUUGAGAGACCGGACCCGACAGUGAGGGACGAAAGCCAGGGUCUCGAACCGGAUUAGAUACCCGGGUAGUCCUGGCUGUAAACAAUGCUCGCUAGGUAUGUCACGCGCCAUGAGCACGUGAUGUGCCGUAGUGAAGACGAUAAGCGAGCCGCCUGGGAAGUACGUCCGCAAGGAUGAAACUUAA